rnacentral:rRNA from 1 species
GAUGAACGCUGGCGGCGUGCCUAAUACAUGCAAGUCGAGCGAACGGACGAGAAGCUUGCUUUUCUGAUGUUAGCGGCGGACGGGUGAGUAACACGUGGAUAACCUACCUAUAAGACUGGGAUAACUUCGGGAAACCGGAGCUAAUACCGGAUAAUAUUUUGAACCGCAUGGUCCAAAAGUGAAAGACGGUCUUGCUGUCACUUAUAGAUGGAUCCGCGCUGCAUUAGCUAGUUGGUAAGGUAACGGCUUACCAAGGCAACGAUGCAUAGCCGACCUGAGAGGGUGAUCGGCCACACUGGAACUGAGACGCGGUCCAGACUCCUACGGGAGGCAGCAGUAGGGAAUCUUCCGCAAUGGGCGAAAGCCUGACGGAGCAACGCCGCGUGAGUGAUGAAGGUCUUCGGAUCGUAAAACUCUGUUAUUAGGGAAGAACAUAUGUGUAAGUAACUGUGCACAUCUUGACGGUACCUAAUCAGAAAGCCACGGCUAACUACGUG